AAGCGUCGGACAGCCGGCUGGGCGGGGUUGCGGCUGCCACGUUGGAGCGGAACGUGGAGGUGGCCCUGGGCAGGAGGAGGGGCGGCGGCGAAUGCUGGGAGAGUCAGACGAGCGCGGCGCUAACGCAGGAACUGGUCGCCGGGGGUCCCCGCCAGCAGGAUGAAGUUAAAGGAAAUAGAUCGUACAGCCAUGCAGGCAUGGAGCCCUGCCCAGAAUCAUCCCAUUUACCUAGCUACAGGAACAUCUGCUCAACAAUUGGAUGCAACAUUUAGUACCAGUGCUUCUCUUGAGAUAUUUGAAUUAGACCUUUCUGAUCCAUCCUUGGAUAUGAAAUCUUGUGCCACUUUCUCUUCUUCUCACAGGUA